CAUUGACCUUUGACCCAAUUUUCAUUCCUGACUGUCAAUAAAUAUUCUUUGGUUGGUCGCCCCUUGCACAUUGCACAAUUAUUUUUAUAUGUACCUACCGCACCAUGACCCUACAUAAACCAUAAUCUACCUACCCAUUAGAAAUCAAUAAAUUUUAAUUAUUCUUUGUGAUGUAUCCAGGAAUCAGGAUCAGAAAAGCAUCAUUUAUUUUAAAACAGGGGUGUGAAAACUGCUAUAAUGGAUUUAGCCCCCAUAAAGAGACUUCCAGAAGAAAUUCUGUUGAUGAUAUUCAGCAAAAUCAGUGAUCACGAGUUGAUUACGAGUGUUAUACCGGUGUGUCCUCGAUGGGAGUCCCUUGUGCUUCCAAUCCUGAAGGUCAUUUAAUCUGAAGAUAAUGAACUGCGUGGAGGCAUCCUAGUAUUACUAGACCCCCACCUUUCUCAAUAUCCUGGGCUAUAUACCAAAUUUGUUAGAGCUGACCAUACCUUUUGAUUACAGUUUGGUUUCAGGUACAAAGCGAUAUCGAGAUUUGAUCGGCUGACUUCUCUACAACUCUACUCGUGUCUGAGGAUGACUUGUAACGAAGCUAUCUACUUGACUACCUUAAGAAAGCUUCAUCGGCUGCACAUAACUGGGGCAAAAUUGGUAAAACUGUUUUAGACAAUCCGUUCCAUAUCCACAGGAUCCUAUCUACUAAGAUGCUGUUGUUUGUCCAUCUUUCACUAGGCUUUAUCUCAUGAAGCUUGAUAGACCGAAUCUUUAAUUUCAUUUGCAUGUAGAUAUUAUUAUUGAUAAGUACUAUAUGUGUUAUUAUGUAUUUAUAUUUAUUUUAUGUUAUGUAUGGACUUAACAUAAAAUAAUAUUUUAUAUGUGUGUAUGUUUUAGUAAGUAUCCAUAACACAUACUGUACACAUGUGUGUCCAAAUAAGCUCAUGCAAGUUAUUGCAAACUUGAACCGCGUGUGGUGUACUAGGCGUGCAUAAGGUUGUCGAUCAGGGUAUGCACUAGUAAGAAAAAUUAUACCAAACUGGGAAAAUCUGCAUUUGAAAGUAUUAAGAAAACAUUUUUAGGGUAUGCAGGACUUUAAUGCAUGUAUGAACUGCACGCCAAUGUGUACUAGCAAUCGCUACCGAAAUCGUUUGCGCUGCAAGAUCAUGAGCUUAUUUGAUGCUCAAUGGCUAGCAUUAGCACACUCGACAUUUUUGGACACUGGACAUAGACUGAAUCAUCUAAAAAGGAUUAGGCAGCGGUUUUACUAUUACAACCUCUUAAUUUGCAGAUACGAGGUGAUUCGCUGAAAUUUAUGGUUAAAAAUGUAUCUAAUACAUUUAAUAAUAAUAACUUAAAUGUUAAAUAAUAACUUAAUUAAAAUGUAAAUACAAAUUCAAUUUGUAAAAUUACCAUAUGAAUCUUGAUUUGUUAUAUUUUAUUAUUAAUAUAAAUAGCAGAACUUCUGAUACAUAUAUUUUAUAACACAUUUGCGAGGAAACACACUUUCUGAAAAUUAAAUGACGAAUGAGAGUUUUUUGCGUUUUGGUGGUUCUUCAAGAAACAUACUUUUAAGUCAAUUAUUUAACCAGAUCCUUAUUUGUACAUUUUAUUAUCAUCUCCAUAUACUUUUAUAAGGAGGUAUACCUUGGUUCCCGGGGCCGACUGUGUAUUGGCCAGUGGGCAUUAACCUUUACGUUUGAUGAUUAUUAUUUUUUUGAAUUCUCUCAAAAUUAUAAAUAAUCUUUCUAAAAAGUUCUCAGUUUUAGUGAUAAAUUUUGUAAUCAAUAGUAUUUAGAUUGAGAAGAACUUUGUGGUUAAUAAAAUAAAAAGAACCUACGUUUAUAUUAGCUAUGCAUAAGUCUAAGAAAAUUGUCUAUGAAGGAAAUAAUUAUUUAUAAUGUAAAUGAGGUAGGAAGGAAAUUACUUCUAAUUAAAAACAUCUUCGUAUCUUUUGGGAUAAACAUUAGGGUUACUUGUCAACUGUAUUAUAGUUGAAUUUAUAAGAAAUUGACUGAAUUUUUACAUAAUAUAUAUAUUAAAGGCAAAGCCCUAUCUUUGCCUUUAAAUAUUUGUAUAAAUAUCUAUAGCAAGUUGAUAUUACAAAUUUAUACUAACAAUUAUCAUUAAUUCUAGAAUGUACCUUUACCUUUACCUUGUUAUAAUUUUCAUCUAAGUCAAGCAUCUCAAAAGCUAUCCAGCCUCUUAAAGCUGUUGAGGAUUUUUUACCAUUAAACGACAUUAUACAACUUUUUUUCUUGAUAACAAAUUAUUAACUCUUUCAUGAUCAAUAAAAAUCAUAAAAAAAAUAUAAUUUACAAUGGUCGCAACACUCAACUUGCGACAGCAUUUUCGAAAAAAAAAUCAAAUUAGUGUUCACCGCCCAUACAAAGUACUUAGAACCCCUUUACAAAUAGAGUGACGUAUUCUUUUGGUGUUUACAACUUCAUUCUUCAUGCUGACGUUUCCAUAUUUUCAUUCCAAUAGUAGGGGAGCCCGGGAUGCUAAAUUUGCAGUUAAUAAAGCGUCAUGGGGACCGAUUAGAUUUGGUAGGUUAGAUGAUAGAAAAUAUGGUUAUAUACUUUUUUCGCUUUCAGCGGUGGAAAAAAAACUGCAGACUUUAAAGGCAAUUUUGAUUACUUCGGCUUACUGGAAAUAUCAUAAAAUAGUAUUAUUAUUUUUGAGAUUAUUUCCUUCAAAAUAGAAAAAAAUUACCCUUGCUUGUGGCUCGCAUACUGAAAUAGAAGGGUUUUGUUUUGUAACUUUGUAACAUUCCCAUUUCACCACGUUAUAGUUAAAUCGUAAGAUUUUCGAAAUGCACACCUUUUAGCUAUCAACUAAUCUACCAUAUCUCCAUAUCUGACGUGCUGGAUGAGUAUUUUUGAGGUUACUUUGUUUUUUGGUUGCAUAAACGUACCCAUCAAUAUUAAGAGCUCAUACUUGGUAGUACUCAACAACGUGCAAGUUUCUUAUGUUCAACUGCCGCGCUCGAGUAACUGCAAAAAUCCCCUCUGCGGCUCCCCUAUUAUAAUGACAAUGAUAAAAUUGUAAACGUAAUAAAUAAGCUUCACAUAACCCUACUGAAUUUAAAUCUAUCAAACAUAUUGUAAAGAAGUUAGAAGUUUAAACACAGGUUAAGAAAAUAAAAGUUAAAUUAAAAUAAAUUGCGCUACACAGUUACCUACACAAUUUGAAUGUAAUAAUACACCGUGCUACCGGCCGCGUCUAUAAUCCGCCGCGACAUGUAUGUAUCCAUUACGAGAAACUCUAUAGUAAUAUUAAAAAUAAGCUGAAGCACAUUCACACGCUAUCGAAAAAAAAAAUUAAAAUUGAUGAAAAAACUUCAGAACAUCCUGUUUCAUUCUGUUUGGAAAGAAGAGGUUAAUGAACUUUAACCUAGUUUCAGAAAUUUUGUUGUUUAAUACCUACAUACCUACUAUUUUUGAUACACCUAAUCGGCGGCAGUGUCUUUACUAGGGCUGUUAAUAAAACAUCGAUAUAUCAAAAUAUCGACAUUAUCACUUAAUAGCGAUAAGUAUUCAUUACUAAUAUUUUUAUGGACGAUAUAUCGAUAGUUCGACAUUGAAACGUAGAUAUCGAUACUAGAUAUUUUUAACAAGUUUUAAUUUUUUAUAUCCCUCGCAAAUUAUUUAAACUAAAACAUUAUCAAACAUAAUCUACUUUACUUUAUUUAUUUUUCAUAUUUUAGUUUAUUUAAUUGCAUUUUAUCGAAAAUGUCACUGAAAUAAGUAAAACGUAAUGUAUUCAGAUAGUAUACACUACUUUACCCUCAGACAAAACUUUAAACAUGUUUAAUCGUAUUAAUUUACUUGUCAAUUUAGUUACAUAAAAAAUAGUGAAGUUUAAUAAAUACUUAAUUGUUAAAAGUUUUCAUUUAGCCGAAAAAUUUAUUUUGAAAUUAUCGAUACAUCGAGAAUCCGAUAUUUUAAAAAAUAGCAAGCCCUAGUCUUUUGCGGUUUCCUUUUUGAUAACGCCGCUCGCCGCCUAACCCGUAACUAUUGUUGGCAAUGUCCAAAAAUAGGUACAGGUAAGAAAUGUAUCUUUCGAUCGUUUCUUAUAACGCAAGGUGAUUGGUUAGGUCUUAAUAAUUCGAUCAUUCGGGUCACGGGUCUUUCGUGUUAUAUGUAUCGUUACGACUCGACUUAAAGUAUGUAGUUACUUGAGUCUUAAACUGAACAUCCGUAGGACAUGAAUCGGAACCCUUUUUUUAUUCGUUACAAGUUAGCCAUCGACUACAAUUUUACCUGACGGUAGUGUAGUAAGUGAUUAUGCAAUCUGAAAUGGAAACGGACUAACUUAUUAGGGGGAGUAUUUGAAUCCACGGCUUGGCGGUACGUCUUUGUCGGUAACGAGCCACGAUCGAAGUCUCCCACCAGCCAGGCCUGGACCAAAACACCAAUCGGCCCAACCGAGGUUCGAACCCAGGACCUCCGUCUUGUAAAUCCACCGCGCACACCACUGUGCCACGAAGGCCGUUAAAAUUCCGAACUGAUCGGAUUUUAGGUUGCUAUUCUGUAGAUUGAUGUUGUACGACUGACCGACGAGUAUUCGAUCUAGAUAAUUGUUACAAGUCCAAUUCAGUGUGGUGAACAAAAAUCGUUCGCAGAUUAUUUGAGGCGCUGACGACCGCGUCACUCGCUCACGCACAAGUACUGAUCGGGUAUCAGAGAUUCGAUCAAUCGCGAUCGACACAGGUCUAGUACGGGUUAACACCCGUAAAUAAAAUAAAAUUUAAUUUAAAGAAAUAGGUUAAAGUGAAUGACCUCAAAGCCCAAAGGGACCGACGGGCUGCCGACGUGACUGCGGCGAGGAGGUAGGUAGAUGUUUGAAAAUACAGGAUGUGUUAAAAUAAUCGAUUUUUGAAAGUUUAUUACAAUUGUAACUCCUAGAAUUGUACUUUGUUUUUUUUUUUAAUAACACUGAUGGAUAAUAGACAUUGGGUACAUUAUGUGGGAUUUUGGUUUAAGACGAAUAACGUAGCGCGGUGUAUAAUAGAGAUGAAAAUGUUAGAAUGUAUUAAAUUGGUGUUUAAAUAGAUAAGUGAAACAAAUCAAUAAGGCGAGUAUUUUUCAAAUGUAUUCAGUUUAGUUUAUUUUGAAAGUUAUGAAAAUUACAAUAUCAAUAAGUAUAAACAAUAACAUUCUAGUAUAAGAAAAAAAAAUCGAUGUUUUCAAUCAAUGUUAGUAAAAAUAAUAAUUGUUGUUGUGGGAGUAGUCGAGAUCUUUGUUAUUAAGGUCCGUAAGUGUAAGCGAGAUAGACAUAGGGACAAUAUUGUAUGUCCCUAUGUCUACCUCGCUUACACUGACGCUUAUACAAAUUGAUUAAUUUUGAAAGUUAUGAAAGUAAUUAACAAAUACAUUGUAGACACAUAAGAAAAUUUAAAAAUAUAUCGAUGUUUUUAAUUAAUGUUGGUAAAAAUAAUAAUUGAUAGUAUUGUCAGUUGUCAGUUAAUAGUGUCUCAAAGCUGGAUUCAGUUAUCUUUGAUACGAUAUAAUCGUACGAAUGUACCUUACUACCAAUGAAGUCAUUGGUGAUAACCCCCGAAUUGCAAUUGCAAUUGCACGUUGUAGAGUCAACAUCUCCUGAGGAUGCUCCGGUUUCGGGGUGAAACGUACGUAGAGAGUGUUUUGUCGGACCUGGGUGACGUUGUCGCAUGGGUUCGCCGAUUUUUCGCGGGUGAUAGCAAAAUAAAUAAAUCAUUAUACAUAUAAUCAUGAUGAACUUCCGCAAAGUAACGCCUGCUUCUAUCCUACAUUUUGUAAAUGUUAGUAAAUUAAUGUUAUAGUAAGCUCGUUAUAAACGGUCUCGCCGGAGCAUACAUAAUGUCCCUAUGUCUAUCUCCCUUACUCUUACACUUACCACAAUAAAAUAAAUGUAUGUACGUUUUUAAUCGUACUUUGUUCAUAUAUUUUUACAAGUUAAGAAAGUUAUGAAAUUUAACUAUAUUUAAGGUUUUACGUAGGUGUCUUAAAAAGCCCUUUGUGUGUCAAACUAUACCAUUUUCUUCCAUGUAAUAUUUACGGCUUUUUACUUAUACGUGUACCCCAUUUCCUUCAGCUCAAUAAAGUUUUUCCGCUAUAGUAUGUUUUCGGUAUUUUUAAAAUAUUUUGUAACACCAUGUGAAAAGUUAGCUGGUUAGCGAUACGGCCCCGGUGCACACCCUAUUUCUAUUGACAUUUAUGGCCCGACGAGACAGUUCAUAACGAGCUUACUAUAGUAAUACGUAGUUAGGUAGAUAAAUGUUGAAUUUGAUGGAUUUUUACUGUCAACAAUUAUUUACGGCUUUCAAAGCAAGCUGCGAACGGCAAAUUAGUAAACUUACUGCGAUAUUAUCCAGCCAGUACAUAAUUCAUGCUCAAUUCGUAUUAAUUGACUUCUCUAGUCUUUUCUAGUGUGAGACGUUAUUCGCAUCCAUGCAAUAAUAUUGUCAAUAAAAUAAGGUUUUUUUUUUUGUUUUUAAGUUUAUCCCUAAAUAAAUAAUACUAAUAGGUACUAUCCGGGUUACGACUUUGGAACUUACCCUACUUUAUUGCCAAUAUUAUUGCGUGUGCGCGGAUACAUUACUUAUUAUAAAUGUGUUUGCAGUAUGUAUUAAUAACUUCUAGUGUUGUUCACGGUGUAUAAAUUGAUGUUUAAAAUAUGAAUAAUAAAUGUUGUGCCAAA